CUCAUCCCGAAUCGCCAUCAUCGCCGGUGUAGGGAGAGGAGUUGUCGCGCCACUGUAGCGCCGCCGCCACUGUUGGGUCACCGUGCUGUCGUCUGAGAACAGAGAGCGUGCGCGAGGAAGGAGAAGCCCUGCCCUCGCGUCCGUGGUUGUCUCCGCGGGUCCCUGUCGCCGCCGCCUCUGAGUUCGUCGCCAUCAAGCAGAGCGCGCACAGAGGAGAAGCCGUUCAAGUCAGACAGAGCGCGCACAGAGGAGAAGCCGUUCAAGCUACUGUCAAGUCACCAUCGAUGAAGCUUCAACCGCUGUACCUCUGGUCGCCGGAAACUGCCGUUGGAGCCGCCACCUUCUUGGGAUUGGUUAUCGCGAGUUGCUCUGUCGGAGCUACCAUUCCACUACUGCCGCCUUUGCUCUGAGCCGUUAAUUGUAGCGAGUAUUGUUGUCAUGGCGGCUGCUCGGUUUAGUCGCUCCUCUUUAGCAUGGAUCGAGGUCCGGUUGCUGCACGUUGGUGAAUUUAAGUUGCUGUUAUGGGUGCGGACACCAUGGAGCUGUGAUUGCGAUUGUUACCAAUGUCGGGCCGAGAG